UCUCUAUUUCUCUCUUCUCCCUCACUCACCCUUACACUCUCUUGGCUCUCUCUAGCUCAGCCCCUCCAAGGGCUUUUCUUACCAACAAACAUCACCACAACAACAUCAACAUCUCCAUUAGCACCCUAGUGAGCUUAGAAUCGAAGAAAGGACACCUCAAACCUUUCUCUUCCAUUCGGCUGGUACUGUUCAUCGUCUUUCCCGAUGAGUUUAUGGAUUUUUCAACGUUGAAAAUUGCUCGGGAAAGCUUUUCCAAAUUUUCCAGCGAGCACCGUCAAUUUCGAGAUAAUUUCCGGCCAAACCACUGUGAGUUGGCCGGCGUGCAAGUUUCCGGCGACCUCCAAGGCUUUCAAGGUAUUUUCCGGCCAAACCACAGUGAGUUAGAUGUCAUGUGAGGGGCAAUAUUUGUGACGUUUUCGUGGUUGCUAGUUGCGUGGCUCUUCGGCGGUGAAGUACUGAUGUAGGGAUAGAUUCCGGUCCGUCCUGGGCGACGGUUUGGUGUUGGCAUAGGGCUUGGAGGGUGUUUCCUCUAGCAUUUAAGACCAGGGACGGGGAGCCGGCAUGGGGCCUAAAGUGUAUUUUCCUCUGACUGUCUGCUCAGAGACGGGGAGCCGGCAUGGGGCCUGGGGGUUAUCGGACAAUUCAC